rnacentral:rRNA from 1 species
UGCAAGUCGAACGGGAAUCUUCGGAUUCCAGUGGCGGACGGGUGAGUAACGCGCUAAGAAUCUAACUUCAGGACGGGGACAACAGUUGGAAACGACUGCUAAUACCCGAUGUGCCGAGAGGUGAAACCUAAUUGGCCUGAAGAAGAGCUUGCGUCUGAUUAGCUAGUUGGUGGGGUAAGAGCCUACCAAGGCGACGAUCAGUAGCUGGUCUGAGAGGAUGAGCAGCCACACUGGGACUGAGACACGGCCCAGACUCCUACGGGAGGCAGCAGUGGGGAAUUUUCCGCAAUGGGCGAAAGCCUGACGGAGCAACGCCGCGUGAGGGAGGAAGGUCUUUGGAUUGUAAACCUCUUUUCUCAAGGAAGAAGUUCUGACGGUACUUGAGGAAUCAGCCUCGGCUAACUCCGUGCCAGCAGCCGCGGUAAUACGGGGGAGGCAAGCGUUAUCCGGAAUUAUUGGGCGUAAAGCGUCCGCAGGUGGUCAGCCAAGUCUGCUGUCAAAUCAGGUUGCUUAACGACCUAAAGGCGGUGGAAACUGGCAGACUAGAGAUCACUAGGGGUAGCAGGAAUUCCCAGUGUAGCGGUGAAAUGCGUAGAGAUUGGGAAGAACAUCGGUGGCGAAAGCGUGCUACUGGGCUGUAUCUGACACUCAGGGACGAAAGCUAGGGGAGCGAAAGGGAUUAGAUACCCCUGUAGUCCUAGCCGUAAACGAUGGAUACUA